rnacentral:tRNA from 15 species
GCCUAUAAGGCCAGUUAGUUAGAGCGUUAUGCUAAUAACAUAAAAGUUAUAGGUUCAAGACUUGCUUUGGUCA